rnacentral:rRNA from 1 species
GACAGAGGAGGCGAGCGUUAUCCGGAGUUAUUGGGCGUAAAGGGUACGUAGGCGGCUAGUCAAGUCUGGGGUUAAAGACCACAGCUUAACUGUGGGGGGGCCUUGGAAACUGACCGGCUGGAGUGGGGCAGGGGUUGCGGGAAUUCCAGGUGUAGCGGUGAAAUGCGUAGAUAUCGGGAAGAACACCUGAGGCGAAAGCGCGCAACUGGGCCCUAACUGACGCUGAGGUAAGAAAGCUAGGGGAGCGAAUGGG